rnacentral:rRNA from 1 species
UACGGGGGGAGCAAGCGUUGUUCGGAUUUACUGGGCGUAAAGGGCGCGUAGGCGGUCGUGACAAGUCACUUGUGAAAUCUCCGGGCUUAACUCGGAAAGGUCAAGUGAUACUGUCGGACUAGAGUACAGAAGGGGCAACUGGAAUUCUCGGUGUAGCGGUGAAAUGCGUAGAUAUUCGCAAGAACACCAGUGGCGAAGGCGGCUUACUGGUCCGGUUCUGACGCUGAGGCGCGAAAGCGUGGGGAGCAAACAGGG